GGAGAAACCAGGAUGGGAACUCUCGGGCUGGAUUCUGAUCAGAGCUGCAUUUGUGGUUUGAAAGCCUCUGUGUUCCCCAAGGCAGUUGUGGCCUUGUACAACAGGAUGGCAGCUUCUGGAAAUUUUUGCUUGUGGACUAUGAUAGGUUGAUUCCAUUGAUAGUCCAAUAAUGCCCUCUGGGUUUCCAAGCCCUUUGCAGUGUGAUUUUACAGCUCCUCUAUUUAAGGGGUAGUAGAGUCUCCUCCUUACAUUUUUAAUCUGGACCUUAACUAAUAGAGUGCAACAGAAGUGAUGGUGGUCCUGCUCCAAGGCUAGGCCUCAGGAAGCCUUGCACAUCCCUACUCUUUUCUUUUGGAACCCCUCAUGACCAUGUGAACAAAUCUGAGCUAGCCUGCUGAAGACCAUGUGGAAAGACAACAGAUAUUCUAAUAGACCUUAUGAGAGACCAGCCAAGAUCAGAAGAGGUGUGCAUGCAAUCCACAGCUGCCUGAAGUCACGUCAGAAUGAUGUCACCUUUCAACAGCCACUUUGGGAUUUUGAUGAAGACUUCAGGCAGAAGACAAAUGCUGCUUAGCAUUUUAGACCAACUUCUGCUCACAAAUGACAGAGGAUCUAAUCUGCUUGCUAACACCAAGUGAAGUGACUACUUGUAGAGCACUGCUGGGAAGGAUUCUGAGUCUGCAAACUGACUCAACAGGAAAGAACACUAUGAUCAACCACCAAGGGCCUGCAGCGCCCAUGGCCUUACAUGUGUUUGCAAAUCCCAUUCAAUAUGAAGCCAUCUUAAAGUCAACAUCACCUGCUCAAGUGUAUUUUGGGCCAGGUGUGCAGAGCUCCAGAUACUUGUCUGUGGACGACCUCCUGUGAUUUUAGACAGCAUAUCUUUGCUUUACAUCCUCCUGCAGAAAACAGUCUGUUGACAGUUAUCCCUCUCAGGGGUGCUUGAAGAUGAAUGGGCUGCUUUGAAAGCACACAGGGCUCUUGGAAGAAAAAGCACAUCAUAAAUCCCAGGCAAUAGUAGUUAUUGUCUGGAUUACCUAUCUAAAGAAACAAGUCUCUUAGGUCAUUUCUUUGACUGGAUUUCAGUUUCUAUGAGGUAUAUAAAUAAACUGCUAUCACAGGAGGCUAAGGCAAAUUCACCAGUAAGAAUACUUUAUAGGCUUAAUCUACAAUGGAGGAGCUUGACAUCCUCUAUUUACAUCACCUGGUCAAAUCUCUGGCAUGCAAAGAGAGCACAGUACUAGUAGAUAUGAUCUUCUUCAGCAAAGACCAGAGAUGACGUCUUAAUUUCAUGCUGUGAGGCUGGUGGAGCCAGAGCUCCACUGCAUACCUCACUGGACCAUUGCUCCUGUGGUCCUGUGUUCUUAGUCAUCUGAGCCAGCCCUGCAACCAAGCAGCAGAGCCAGGGGGCUCAUGAAAAGAAUAAUCCCACAGCUCAGCAUUAGCCUCAAAGCAGCAGAUAUGGGGACCUCUGUAACUGGCACCCUGGACUAGAAGCAAAUAUCUGCAAUUGCCUAAAACAUAUAAGUGUGUGUGUGUGUGUGUCUGUGUAUCAAGAACACCCUUUGCAGAGGGUAAAGAAUAGGAACAAAACUGUCUUGAAAAUGCUGUGUCAUUAACACAGAGGUAAGAAUGGAAAGCAGGCCAGGUGCAGUGGCUCACACCUGUAAUCCCAACACUUUGGGAGGCUGAGGCAUUUGAGGCCAGCAUGGGCAACACGGCGAAACCCCAUCUCUACAAAAAAUACAAAAAAAUACAUGGUGGUGUGCACCUGUAGUCCCAGCUACUCAGAAGGCUGAGAUGGGAGGACACUUAAGCCCAAGAGGCAGAGGUUGCAGCAAGCCAAGAUCAUGCCACUAUAUUCCGUCCAGCCUGACAGAGCUAGACCCUGUCUCAAAAAAAAAAAAAAAAAAAAAAAAAAAAAGAAUGGAAAACAAACAUAUACAAUGCAACCUCAACUGGCAGGAUGAAACCCCAGGUUCUUGUGUUAACUCCGCUGGCUGGGCAGCCCAGGAUGGGUCACUUUCACUCUCCAUCUCCACACUGGUACGGGAAGAAAUUGGGCUGGGAGACAGAUCACUCAGGUUCUUCCAGUUCUAACUCUCUGUGACUCCUUGAUUCUAGUUUGCGCUACCAGGCAAGGUUCUAUGUAAAAAUAGAGGUUCCUCUUCAAAGACUUUCCUCUCCAUUUAAUUAGGAAUAAAUAAUAACUUCUCUUAGAAGCAAAAUUUAUUCAAAAACCUGUGCUAACAUUCUUAAAUAUCUGCUAGUCGUAAUAAGAAAACCAAUAUACUUUAUGUUCUUAGCUCCCACAAUUUAGCCUAAAUAUUUGCCCUGGCAUGCUUAUACUGGUCCAAGCAGGCAUUAGUUCAUAGCCUGUUUCUCUUCCUUAUUUAAAGGUGUUUUUACCUUUCUCAGCAUUCCACAAGUUACUUCCUCCUUCCUUUUUUCUCCUCUAGCUUUGCCUCUUUUAAUAAGUUCUAAGUUGCUAGCCAAUCGGGACAAAUACAGAAUGUGAGGUCCUGUUCCAGCCAA
rnacentral:lncRNA from 10 species